CAUUAGUUUAUCAGAAGCGUCCAUCUUAUAUUUUUGCCGACUCGAAUUUGCACAUAUUUUUUUAAAUAAUAAAAAAUUAAGUGUAACUAUUACAGUUUUUCUUAAAUUAAGUUUUAGAUAAUAAAACAAAAAAUUUUCUUCAAAUAUUAACAAUGUCACGGUAUCGUGAAUGGGAUCCUACUUGCAAAGUUUACGUAGGUGAUUUAGGAAGCAGUGCUAGCAAACAUGAAAUAGAAAAUGCAUUCAGUAAAUAUGGACCACUGCGAAAUGUUUGGGUUGCUCGAAACCCACCUGGUUUUGCAUUCGUUGAAUUUGAAGAUCCUCGAGAUGCAGAGGAUGCCGUUCGUGGAUUACACGGAACACGUUGUUGUGGAACAAGAAUAAGAGUAGAAAUGUCGUCCGGUAGAACUCGUCGUGGAGGUGGAGGACGUCGGCCUGGUCCCCGAUAUUCAAGAUCUAGAUCUCGUAGUCCACGCAGGAAAUCUAUUGGUCGUUAUCCAAGGUCUUUGUCCAAGAGUCCAAAAAGAUCACCCAUAAAUAGAUACUCCAGAUUCUUCCAGUGUGAGCUCCUAGUUCUGCUCGCCUCCCCGUCACUACUACUACUACUUCUACUACUACUACCACCACUACUAGUACUACUAUUAAUAUUACUACUACAACUUUUACUACUACUACUACAACAGCCACCGUGAACAAAAAAGUUUUGAAAUCACAAACUGAAAAAGAUAUAAAGAAAGUAAAAUACUUCAAUUAGUUAAAAUCAAAAAAUAAAAGUAAAAUUUUGAUAAGUAGCCUAUCAGUAUACUAAAUUUCCAAUCAGUAGGAGCCUCAUCGAUAGAAGCAAAGUCGUCCUUCAGUUGACAGUUUGUUAGCAAGUCUGUCAGCAAGUCAGUAAUCCUUCAAAGUCAGCUUCCUGCUACCACAACUUCUAAGCAACUAGGAGCAUCAUAUACAUCAAUCACAGACAGCCAACGCGAUAUGAAUUCGUCGAUCCAAAUAUCAUCGCGUCUGUCCCAACUACUUCUACCACUACUACUCCGCCAACCACAGUGUUUUAUUUAGGUGUACAGUGAGACCGUCACGUUUCUUCAAUUGAGCAAUGCAAAAUAAUCACAUACAUACCAUCCUCCACCUAAUCGACCACUACCACAAUUACUAUCACUAACUACCAUCAUAGGUUCAUAUUUAUCUGGUCAAGAUCGCGUAGUCCACGCAGACGAUCUCUGACUCGUAGCCGUAGUCGGGACCGCCGUUCGAGAUCAGACUCCCGUGAAAGACGUUAAAUGCUAAA